GCUCCGAUAGCUCAGUGGUAGAGCAAAAUGGGUGACAACCAUGAGGUCACCGGAAGACCGGAUCGAAACCGACUUGGAGCA